GGCUGACCCAGUUACAGCUUUACCCCAACCACACAGCGAGUGGCAGCAGUGAUGCUGCGCCUUCUGCCAGCACUGUGGCAGUGCUCGUGGGCAGGAAAUCUCUGCAGCGAGCAUUACAAGACCUGUGCUGGUGAGAGCUGCACCACCUCUGUCAGCGCAGCAAGAGGAAUGGCAAGGUCCCAACUAGCCAAGGUCCCACCCGGCCUGGAGGCUUCAGAGCAGCUCUGCUUGGUGGGCAAAGCUGGGUGGGCAUGCCGGACUCAUGCCAUGCCAGGCUGGCCCUGUCCCGGGCCAUGGGCAGAGCUCAGGCUGCAGCCACACUGCCACAGCCACAGCCCUGGCCUGGAGGUCCAGGGAGACCGCUGGCACCAGCCCAGUGCCAGAGGAAGAGAAUCUAGGUCACAGAUCCUCUCUGAGAACAAGCACAUCUGAUGCUGCCAAGGGAAACAAACUGGCAGGAGAAAGGGGAACAAACUGGCUUGAAAGCAACAGGAGGAUGGGGAGAAGUAACUCAGGGAUAGAAACAAGGACACUCCGGGAGAGUUCUAUUUUUUAGCUUUGUAGGUGACUGCCAAUUGUCCAAAUACAGAGUGGCUUGUUGGUGGCUGCAAUCGCAGGAAGAAAAGAAUUGCAUUUCAGAACAGCUUUGAAUGCACUUCCAGCAGAACCAUGCAUGGAGCCAUAGGACAUCCAGAAGCUUUAGAGCAGGUACAAGGUCUCUGGCAGACACCCACAGUGAAGCUGGGAGUUUUCCUUUUAUUGCAGUGUUGCUGACUCAGUCUAAUGUCCUGCACAACAAUUUCAGCUUUUUUAAACCGGGAUGUGCAAUACCAAGCACAGUAAGCCAGUGCAUGUGCCUUUGAGUUGGCAGCAGUAUGGUACCUCAUAGCAGCUUUUGGGCCUGUCAGCCUGAUUUUAUCACAUUUGAACAGUUUGCUUAGUCUGUAUGUCUGAAAAAUCAGAGUAAUUCUACCUUCUGAGGCCUGGAACACUCCCCAGAUCCCUGGCACCUCAGGGUUAUCAGAUGACAGAGGAAGAAAUGACAGUCUAGUGGGUGUCCCUGGCUUGUUCAGUCAGUAAUUAAUAUACUUGCUUCAGUUUCAGAUGUGUGGCACAAAAUCUAGAGAUGAAACACGACACCGAGGUUCCAGACAUCCUGGAGCUGCUGGAAUGUGUUUUAAGUGUAUCACUGUUCCCUGUGGGAGUGGAAGGCAGGGAGACAUGAUCUAGAUGUAAAAAUCUGAAGGGAGAGUGUGAGCAUGGGACAUUUAUUAGAUCUGACUGCAGCCAGCAGUUAUCUGUCUGAGUCGAAGGGUGAAAUUGGAUAACAAACAUUAUCUUUUCAGCACGCAAAGGAAGAGAUUGCAGUGGGAAAUGAACAUUUCAUGUUUUAAUAGUCAGGUUGGCCUAGCAGGAAGAUAAAGUUUCAAAAGUAUGAUAAAAAUGCACUUUCUUGUUUUUUUACAGGACCUUGUUUCUUCCCAGAAAACUAUGUUUGGCAGAACAGAAUAACAUAUUUGGCCAGACCUGAGAGCAUUUUUAUGAGUUCCAUGUGAGAUGCUGAAGCCUUAACUUAAUUGGCUUUACAUUCCUCAGGAAGACAUACACCCUGUAUCCACAUCCACUCAGUCUGCUCUCCUUUUCAAUCUUGUUACUGUAACUAUUGAUUUCUCUUGUUUUAGUCCAACCUGAUGCUUAUGUAAAUCAAGUCAGUUGCUGUAAUCUGUGCUGAGUCAGGGAUGUAAAAUUCACAGCCUUUCUUGCUUUCCUCCUCUU